GACGAACGCUGGCGGCGUGCUUAACACAUGCAAGUCGAGCGGGGAUAUGGUUGGAAGUUCUUCGGAACGGAAGAUCAUAUUCUAGCGGCGGACGGGUGAGUAACGCGUGAGCAAUCUGUCCCGGACAGGGGGAUAACACUUGGAAACAGGUGCUAAUACCGCAUAAGACCACGAUCUCACAUGGGAUUGAGGUAAAAGGAGGAAUCCGGUCUGGGGUGAGCUCGCGUCUGAUUAGCUGGUUGGUGGGGUAACGGCUCACCAAGGCGACGAUCAGUAGCCGGCCUGAGAGGGUGAACGGCCACAUUGGAACUGAGAGACGGUCCAAACUCCUACGGGAGGCAGCAGUGGGGAAUAUUGGGCAAUGGGCGAAAGCCUGACCCAGCAACGCCGCGUGAGGGAAGAAGGCUUUCGGGUUGUAAACCUCUGUCCUCAGGGAAGAAAAGAAUGACGGUACCUGAGGAGGAAGCCCCGGCUAACUACGUGCCAGCCGCCGCCGUAACAC
rnacentral:rRNA from 1 species